UACGUAGGGGGCAAGCGUUGUCCGGAAUCAUUGGGCGUAAAGCGCGUGUAGGCGGCCCGGUAAGUCCGCUGUGAAAGUCGGGGGGCUCAACCCUCGAGACGGCCGGUUGAAACCAUCUGGCUAGAGUCCGGGAAGAGGAGAGUGGAAUUCCUGGUGUAGCGGUGAAAUGCGCAGAUAUCAGGAAGAACACCCGUGGCUAAGGCGGCUCUCUAGUACGGUACUGACGCUGAGACGCGAAAGCGUGGGGAGCGAACAGG
rnacentral:rRNA from 1 species